CCUACGGGAGGCAGCAGUGAGGAAUAUUGGACAAUGGGCGCAAGCCUGAUCCAGCCAUGCCGCGUGCAGGAAGACGGUCCUAUGGAUUGUAAACUGCUUUUAUACAGGAAGAAACACCUCUACGUGUAGAGACUUGACGGUACUGUAUGAAUAAGCAUCGGCUAACUCCGUGCCAGCAGCCGCGGUAAUACGGAGGAUGCAAGCGUUAUCCGGAAUCAUUGGGUUUAAAGGGUCCGUAGGCGGUUUAAUAAGUCAGUGGUGAAAGCCCAUCGCUCAACGAUGGAACGGCCAUUGAUACUGUUAAACUUGAAUUAUUAGGAAGUAACUAGAAUAUGUAGUGUAGCGGUGAAAUGCUUAGAGAUUACAUGGAAUACCAAUUGCGAAGGCAGGUUACUACUAAUAUAUUGACGCUGAUGGACGAAAGCGUGGGGAGCGAACAGGAUUAGAUACCCUGGUAGUCCACGCCGUAAACGAUGGAUACUAGCUGUUCGGAGCAAUCUGAGUGCGUAGAGAAGAGAUAAGUAUACCACCGUCGGGUAGGUACGUUCGUCGAGAAGUAGAACGUACGAAGUAGUAGUUAGUACGGACGUAGAGAGAGCGACGGACGACGACGAGGGAGGAGG
rnacentral:rRNA from 1 species